rnacentral:tRNA from 1 species
UCCCUGGUAGUCCAAUGGCUAAGACUUUGCAUUCUCAAUGCCAGAGGCCUGAGUUCAAUCCCUGGUCAGGGAG